CGCACCCCCUACAGGUGGAUAUUAAGGGUAUUGGAGUGUGUCUCUGUGGCUCACAGGCUCUGCCCCCUAGGAGCAGAGGGGGUGGUGAAAGUAUAAAACCUCUUGGGCUCCCUCCAGCCAGACUGUAGACCUACUAGAAACUAUAAAGACACCUGAGUGUCGCCCCACUGGCUAAACUCUCCCGUCACAAUGCUGUCACGAAAGUGGACUGUUCAUUUGAUCUUUGCUUUGGCUGGUCUUGCUCUCUCAGACCACGUUACUGAUGGAGAUACCAGCGUGGAAACCACAGGCACUCCUGAUGCCCCUGACGCCCCAGGCAAGUUCUGCAUGCUGUGCUGUACUGAAGACUGUAUCGAGGAAAGCAGCCAUGUAGGGAGCCAAGGUUGUUGGAUGCCCUGUAUGGAGGCAUGUUGGAAGGAAUGUAUGGAGCCCUAUAUGGAUCUCUGUAUGGAGCCCUGUACACAGGAUUCGUCGAAGGUGUGCAACAGUAAGGGGGACAUUAAUGAGGACAGUAAGGGGGAUGGUAAGGGGGACGGUAAGGGGGACGGUAAGGGAGACGGUAAGGGAGGCAGUAAGGGAGACGGUAAGAAGGACAGUAACGAGGACACUAAGAGGGACGGUAAGGGGGACGGUAAGGGAGGCGGUAAGGGGGACGGUAAGGGGGACGGUAAGGGAGGCAGUAAGGAGGACAGUAAGGGAGACGGUAAGAAGGACAGUAAGGGGGACGGUAAGGGAGGCGGUAAGGAAGGCAGUAAGGAGGACGGUAAGGGAGGCAGUAAGGAGGACAGUAAGGGAGGCGGUAAGGAAGGCAGUAAGGAGGACGGUAAGGGAGGCAGUAAGGAGGACAUUAAUGAGGACAGUAAGGGAGACGGUAAGAAGGACAGUAAGGAGGACGGUAAGGGAGGCGGUAAGGAAGGCAGUAAGGAGGACGGUAAGGGAGGCAGUAAGGAGGACAGUAAGGGAGGCGGUAAGGAAGGCAGUAAGGAGGACGGUAAGGGAGGCAGUAAGGAGGACAUUAAUGAGGACAGUAAGGGGGACGGUAAGGGGGACGGUAAGGGAGACGGUAAGGGAGGCAGUAAGGGAGACGGUAAGAAGGACAGUAACGAGGACGGUAAGAGGGACGGUAAGGGGGACGGUAAGGGAGACGGUAAGGGAGGCGGUAAGGAAGGCAGUAAGGAGGACGGUAAGGGAGGCAGUAAGGAGGACAUUAAUGAGGACAGUAAGGGGGAUGGUAAGGGGGACGGUAAGGGAGGCAGUAAGGAGGACAGUAAGGGAGGCGGUAAGGAAGGCAGUAAGGAGGACGGUAAGGGAGGCAGUAAGGAGGACAUUAAUGAGGACAGUAAGGGGGAUGGUAAGGAAGUCGAUAAGGGAGACAAUAAGGGGGACAGUAAGGGGGACAGUAAGAGGGACGGUAAGGAAGACAGUAAGAGGGACGGUAAGGAAGUCGAUAAGGGAGACAGUAAGGGGGACAGUAAGGAGGUUAGUAAGGGAGACAGUAAGGGGGACAGUAAGGGGGUUAGUAAGGGAGACAGUAAGGGGGACAGUAAGGAGGACAGUAAGAGGGACGGUAAGGAAGUCGAUAAGGGAGACAAUAAGGGGGACAGUAAGGGGGUUACUAAGGGAGACAGUAAGGGGGAUAGUAAGGGAGCCGGUAAGGAAGUCGAUAAGGGAGACAGUAAGGGGGAAAGAAAAAGACAGUAAGUGUGAGUGUAGUCUAACGUUCCUUAACCCUCUCUUGGUCCUCAAAAUGGGGAAGGUGUCUACAGAGAUACAAUUGAAUUAUUAUGCUGUUUUGAUGUACAUAACAUUUUUGCCCACUUUUUGACUGUUUUCUUGUUGUUUUUAAUUUCCUGAUGUUUUGAGAUCCUCUCUAGUGUUUACAGAACAUAAGGGUCUGAUUGGUGAAAUCAAUGCUAGCAGUAAUAUACAGAAUGACAAUGUAUGAGAAGAAAUGUGUCCAAUUCCAAUGAUAAUGAGUACAUGAUGCGUGAGAUGUUCAUUAAAGAAUCAUUUCUGUGAUGUGGAUUUUUGCCACUCUGCACAACCUGACUCCAGGGCUAUGCCUCUCCCCCUUCAGAAGAAGGCCUCUGUCAGGUUUAUUAUGGGUUUUAUGGUAUAAAAUCAUGUUUUAUAAUGAACUUCACUGCCUUAGUUUGAGUAUUUUGAUUUCUCGAUCUCUUUGUUUUAAGGUACUUAUUAUGUUGCAUUUAUUCAAUAUAAUCACACAUGAGAAUCAAAGUUGUAACACUUAAGAUAAGAACGAUUGACAGGUAACAUGUUUUUUGUUUAUGGUUGUUUAUUGAUUGUUUAUGCUGUUCAGGUUUUCCCCUUCUGCUAUACAAAGAAUGUUAUGCCUGUUCAGUGCAUUUACCUUCCUCUAGUCAUUUCCUGGGGAAGGAGUUUUGGUUCAUGGAAGACUGUUCGCUCUCCCACCGCCUGAUGUGCCCCGUUACAGUGAUGGAUGAAGAGGCACGUCUGUUAAUCCACUAAAGAAAAAACAACCGAAAUUCGUCGGGGCAUGGACUCUACAAGGCGUCGAAAGCUUUCGACAAGGAUGCUGGUCCAUGUUGACUCCAAUGCUUCCCACAGUUGUGUAAAGUUGGCUGGAUGUCCUUUGGGUGAUGAACCAUUCUUGAUACACACGGGGAAACUGUUGAGUGUGAAAAACCCAGCAGCGUUGCAGUUCUUGAAACAAACUGGUGCGCCUGGUACCUACUACCAUAUCCCGUUCAAAGGGACUUAAUUCAUUUGUCUUGCCCAUUCACCCUCUGAAUGGCACACAUACACAAUCCAUGUCUCAAUUGUCUCAAGGCUUUAAAAUCCUUCUUUAACCUGUCUCCUCCCCUUGAUCUACACUGAUUGAAGUGGAUUUAACAAAUGAUAAGGGAUCAUAGCUUUCACCUGGAUUCACCUGGUCAGUCUAUGUCAUGGAAAGAGCAGGUGUUCUUAAUGUUUUGUAUACUCAAUGUAUUUCCACACUACGAGGUUGGAAUAAUACUGUAUUAAUAACACUGAAUAAUACUGUAUUAAUAACACUGAAUAAUACUGUAUUAAUAAUACUGAAUAAUACUGUAUUAAUAAUACUGAAUAAUACUGUGAAAAUAAUAAUGUCGCCUGACAUUUCAGCCUGUUUUGUGGGAUGGAGAUUUGGCCUGCUUGGGGACAUCACUAGGUGGUAAAUUAGUUAAUAGUUUUCAGUUUUCUCCUCCCCACUCAGACCACUCUCAGACAAUCCUACACUCUCAGAAAAAUGGGUCCCAAAAGGGUUCUUUGGCUGUCCCCAUAGGAGAACCUUUUGGUUCCAGGGAGAACCGUUUUUGGUUCCAUGUAGAAACAUGUGGAAGUGGUCCAACAUGGAACCCAAAUGGGUUCUACCUGGAAUCAAAAGGGUUCUACCUAGAACCAAAAAGUGUUCUUCAAAGAGUUAUCCUAUGGGGACAGCCGAAGAACCCUUUUAGGUUCUCGAUAGCAUUUUUUCCCCCAAGAGUGUAACAAAAUUCUUGCUUGAGAAAUUGCUCUUGGCUAAGAAACUAUUUUUGUUUCUUUUUGACCAUUUUAAUUGAAAACAACAACAGUAAGGUACUUUAUUAUUACCUAGAAAUGAUUUGAUAUUGAGAUAAAAACGUUACCAUUGGACCUUUAAGAUAGUAUUCAGUCAUUGUAGGUUUGCUAGGUUUCUGCAGGUUGUGGGUUACUACAGUUUUCCUCUCGCUUUCAUAUGAUGCAUUGCUGUCUCAGUCCUUGACAGAAAGCUCAAUUGACACUUUUGUUCUUCUAACCGAUAACGGCUGCUACAUUUGAAAAAUAACUCCUACUGGCUCAGUUCAACAUUCAUUUUAAAGUUAUGAGUAACAUAAGGUCCUUUAUACAAAAUGAAGUGUUCAUACAAUGUCUUUGAUUAUGUAUAAUCUACAUUGGUUGGAAGAAUGGUAAAAUAAUUAUAUAGACAUAAUGAAAAUGUAAUUUCAAUAUGUACACAGGGGGAAAAUCUAAUAAAGAUUGAGUUGUCAGAUAAUUUUUGGGGGGCAAGUUUGUUGGGAUAAAAAGCAGUAUGUGUGUGUUUUUGUGAAUGUGUAAAGGAUGUGCUGAUGAAAUGAGAAGAAAAUAAGAAGCCUACUCACCGACUACCAAGACAUUACAAUAAUAUCAACUAUAAAUAAUAUGAUAAUAUAAUGAACAAACAAAAUAUCAUGUCAUAACAAUAAUCAAUGGAGUUACUAGAAUGUGAUACAUUGACAAUUGAAAUACAGACACACAUGUCAAGUUGAAUAGUAGCGUACUAAGCACACAGCCAAGACAACGCAGGAGUGGCUUCAGGACAAGUCUCUAAAUGUCCUUGAGUGGCCCAGCCAGAGCCCGGGCUUGAACCCGAUCAAAAAUCUCUGGAGAGACCUGAAAAUAGCUGUGCAGCGACGCUCCCCAUCCAGCCUGACAGAGCUUGAGAGGAUCUGCAGAGAAGAAUGGGAGAAACUCCCCAAAUACAGGUGUGCCAAGCUUGUAGCGUUAUACCCAAGAAGACUCAAGGCUGUAAUCGCUGCCAAAGGUUCUUCAACAAAGUACUGAGUAAAGGGUCUGAAUACUUAAAUAAAUGUGAUAUUUCAGUUUUUUAUUUGAAAUAAAUUAGCAAAAAUGUAAAAAACCUGUUUUUGCUUUGUCAUUAUGGAGUAUUGUGUGUAGAUUGAUCAGGGAACAUUUUAGAAUAAGGCUGUAACCUAACAAAAUGUGGAAAAAGUGAAGGGGUCUGAGUACUUUCCGAAGGCACUGUAUAAGAACAAUGCUAAAGAGUCUGCAGCCAAGAGAUGUUAAGGUCAGAAUGUUGUGGUUCUACUAAGAUUAUCUGUAAAGAAAGCUACUGUGGGAGUGUUUGUUUGAGUUCAGUUUGUCCCUAGCUGUAUUAUUAUCGAUAUCAUUUUUGUUUUAUGUUCUUUUAUUAAUCUCUUUUAUCGCUUUCUGUUUAUUUCUUUAUGAUCUACUUUUGUCACGUCCUGACCAGUAUAAGGGUUAUUUGUUAUUGUAGUUUGGUCAGGACGUGGCAGAGGGUAUUUGUUUUAUGUGGUUCGGGGUUGUGGUUUAUGUAGUAGGGUGUUUGAUUUAUUAUUUCCGGGUUUUGGUCUAUGUUCCAUGUAUAGCUGAUGGCCUUACAGGACUGUUUAUUCGUCGGUGUGUUUCUUUUGGUGUACAUGUUUAUUUUGGUUUUUCCUUCUUUACGUAAUAAAAGAAGAUGAGUACACAUAUACCCGCUGCGUUUUGGUCUCAAUCCGACGACAACCGUUACAACUUUAUUUUAAUGCUUUACUGCACUUUAACUAAAGUUUGAUUUGAUUUGAAUUUCAUUCCUCCUAUAGAGAUGAAUUACAGACUGAUAAAUGACCAAGUGAGAGCAACUCCACUCCACUGCCAGUAAUUUCCAAAACAUCUCACCAUAUCCAAUUACUACAGAGAAUGACUCCUUAAGGAGGAUCAGAGGUGGCUCGUGAUCACCAGGACAAAAAGUCUUCACAGGAUUUGAGAUCAAUUUGAAAUGGCAUGGUAUUGUAACACGAGAAGUGUGUGUGUGUGUGUGUGUGUGUGUGUGUGUGUGU
rnacentral:lncRNA from 1 species